CCCUUAGAUGUUCUGGGCCGCACGCGCGCUACACUGAUGCAUUCAACAAGCCUAGCCUUGACCGAGAGGUCCGGGUAAUCUUUGAAACUGCAUCGUGAUGGGGCUAGAUUAUUGCAAUUGUUAAUCUUCAACGAGGAAUGCCUAGUAAGCGUGAUUCAUCAAAUCGCGUUGAUUACGUCCCUGCCCUUUGUACACACCGCCCGUCGCUCCUACCGAUUGAAUGUGUUGGUGAGGAGCUCGGAUUGGCAGCAGUUGGUGGUUCGCCACCGGCUAUUGCUGAGAAGUCCUCCAAACCGCCCCAUUUAGAGGAAGGAGAAGUCGUAACA
rnacentral:rRNA from 1 species